CCUGCCCAGACCACAGAGAAGCAAGAUGUAACUUGCCCUGCUGAAAAAGGAAGAGGAAAGAACUGCUGGAAGCUGUCCAUGUUCACAGUGCAAGCCCUGGCUCCAUCACAGUCAGCGGAGCCCAUUCCUUGGGUGCCUGCUGGAGCUAAGUGCUUUCCAUCCUGAAGCUGUAAAAACCUCUUCCGGCUGUGCCAAGUCCACUGUCACUGGAGAGAUCUACCUGGAUGAAGGAUGGGAGGCAUCAGGUCUCUUGGAACUGGAGUUAGAGAUGGUGAUGAGCCAGCAUGUGAGUCCUGGAAAUCAAAGCCCUGUCCUCUGAAGAGCAGCCAGUACUUCCAACCCCUGAGCCAUCGUUUCUCCAGCCCCAGGACAUAGUAAGUUUUACAUACACAACAUUUCCCUGAAAAGAAACGGUACCUGGUUCCAGUCCAUCUUUCUCCAUACCCACCUGCCAGUCAUAGAAAUGCCUUCAUUUUUUAUAGGAAGGCUGCCUCUCUGUGUCUGGCUACUUCAAUAAACAGAACGUUUCUGAGUUCAUGUUGAGAAUGUGCCCCCAGCGCACCGUCAUGCAGAAUUGGUGUUUCCCACCCCACCCUCAGUCAGCUGCAUCCUUUCUUUUUAACUAUGAUUUUUGGCUACUUGGCUGCAGUCAAGACUCAUAUGAACGCUUUCAUGGGAACUCUGUGAGAGUUCCUGACUGCGUACCUAGAGACUGGAUUCCUGGUAACUGUUUAGCUCUCUGCCUUGUCUUUGCUCCAGGAGUGUAGGAAGGCUCCGAUCUCCACAGGUUCCCUACCAAUGUUACGGUUCUUUCUUUCCUCGUAGCCAUUCUAACAAGUGUGGGUUCUCUCCGUGUUUUUGACUGUACUUCAUGAGAAGUUAUUGUAAAAAAAUGGUACCUUCAGAGUGACAAUCACCGCAACUGCUUUGUAGAAUAUCUGUUCUUUUUUUAAUUGUAAAAUGUUGCUUUGUGGUGUUUUCACCGUUGUUAGCGUUUCUCAUAGUUUAAGAUGUUGGCUCCUCUGAGCUACUACUUCCUUCCACUUUGUGGGCUGGAGUUUUUGACACACAAAUGCUGUCAGUACUGUCACAUUUCCCAGGGCUAUCACAUUGCCAUGAUGGACUGUACGCCCUCUGCAAGAUGAAGGAAACCCUCCCUUAACUGUGUGUGCACAUGCAUGUGUGUGCAUGUGUAUUGUGUUGCACAUGUGCCUAUGUGUGUGUGCAAGUGCAAGUGUGUGUGAAUAAAUAUGAAGUCAUCUAGACACUGACCACCAAUGCAAGGCUCUCCCAUUCCCCACCCAGCUCUGUGCUGCUCAUCUGGGCACCAGUGCGAGGCUCUCCCAACCCCAGCUCUGUGCUGCUC